rnacentral:rRNA from 1 species
GACGAACCGUGCGAACGUUGUUCGGAAUCACUGGGCUUAAAGGGCGCGUAGGCGGGCCACCAAGUCAGGGGUGAAAUCCUGCGGCUCAACCGUAGAAGUGCCUUUGAUACUGGCGGCCUGGAGGGAGGUAGGGGCGUGCGGAACUUCCGGUGGAGCGGUGAAAUGCGUAGAUAUCGGAAGGAACACCAGUGGCGAAAGCGGCACUCUGGGCCGGUACUGACGCUGAGGAGCGAAAGCGUGGGGAGCAAACAGGG